UACGAAGGGGGCUAGCGUUGCUCGGAAUCACUGGGCGUAAAGGGUGCGUAGGCGGGUCUUUAAGUCAGGGGUGAAAUCCUGGAGCACAACUCCAGAACUGCCUUUGAUACUGAGGAUCUUGAGUUCGGGAGAGGUGAGUGGAACUGCGAGUGUAGAGGUGAAAUUCGUAGAUAUUCGCAAGAACACCAGUGGCGAAGGCGGCUCACUGGCCCGAUACUGACGCUGAGGCACGAAAGCGUGGGGAGCAAACAGG
rnacentral:rRNA from 1 species